CCCUACGGGGCGCAGCAGGCGCGAAAACUUUACAAUGCGGGAAACCGUGAUAAGGGGACUCCGAGUGCCCGUAAAAUCGGGCUGUCCAUCUGUUUAAAUAACAGGUGAAGAAAGGGCCGGGCAAGACCGGUGCCAGCCGCCGCGGUAACACCGGCGGCUCGAGUGGUAACCGUUAUUAUUGGGUCUAAAGGGUCUGUAGCCGGCCGGAUAAGUCUCUUGGGAAAUCCAGCAGCUCAACUGUUGGGCUUUCAGGAGAUACUGUCUGGCUCGAGGCCGGGAGAGGUGAGAGGUACUUCAGGGGUAGGGGUGAAAUCCUGUAAUCC
rnacentral:rRNA from 1 species